rnacentral:rRNA from 1 species
ACGCUUUACCGCAACAUGCUGACCUGCGAUUACUAGCGAUUCCAGCUUCAUGUAGUCGAGUUGCAGACUACAAUCCGAACUGAGACGUUAUUUUUGAGAUUCGCUCCGGCUCACGCCUUCGCUUCCCUUUGUUUACGCCAUUGUAGCACGUGUGUAGCCCAGAUCAUAAGGGGCAUGAUGAUUUGACGUCAUCCCCACCUUCCUCCAGGUUGUCCCUGGCAGUCUCCUCAGAGUGCCCAUCCGAAAUGCUGGCUACUAAGAAUAAGGGUUGCGCUCGUUGCGGGACUUAACCCAACAUCUCACGACACGAGCUGACGACAACCAUGCACCACCUGUSUUCUCUGUCCCCGAAGGGAAAGGACUCAUUACAGUCCGGUCAGAUGGAUGUCAAGACU